CCCUGCUUUCCGUGUAUAACGUUUGACUGUCGUCUUGUAUAAAAUUUUUUUAUAAUUAGUAUUUUCAUUGUUGCUAGAUGAUAAAAUAUGAUUAAUACUUUAUGCGUAACUUAUCUUUUUAAAUUUUUUCAUAAUUUUUUAAAAUAAGACGGACGGUCAAACGUGUCCGACGGUCAAACGUUGGACACGAAAACUCAGAGUUUAUCUUUUU
rfam:Oryza glaberrima chromosome 9 Oglab09_0123_8, whole genome shotgun sequence.